GAAAUAUAGCAGUGGCAGUAUCGUAGCCAAUGAGGUUUAUCCGAGGCGCGAUUAUUGCUAAUUGAAAUAUAGCCUCAAAAACUAUCAGCUGGGGUACCUGGGUGGCUCAGUCAGUUGAGCAUCUGACUCUUGACUUCAG